GCCGUGUUUGUCUACUUCCUUCCGUCUUUGUCUGUCUGUGCGUGCCGAAAUCAUCCAUCCCAUUAUGAAUUACCAAUGGAAUCGAUCUACAUGAAUUUCGCGUGGUGCAACCACAUAUGGCAGCCACUAACGCUCUCACACUGUGACCAAUGUCAGUGAUGGCCACUGUGGGCACGACUGUCUUCCAGAAUGUCUUUGGAAUGCCACUGGCCAUUUCACCAUGCAGCUGUUCAACCAUUGUAUGUCUGUGAUCAAUUUCAUGCGGCCUCCACUGUCCCCAUGCUGAUGCAGUCGUUAGCCCACGUCCCGUCACCGGCUGCUUGUUGGCAGUGGGCCCACACACAAGUCCACUGCCGAAGCUGUGAAGGGAGUGGCCAUGUUGCCCACCAAUGCGCCACGGGUAGGCAAAAUGUGCAGCCCAUGUGUUUCCAGUGUGGUCAACCUGGGCACAUGCGGGCUGAAUGCCCAGAAAAUUGGUACUUGGGAAACAGACAUUGGUAGAGGCUACAUCAGUGGGCAUCUACGUCGGCACACUCUGGGUUGCAAACACCGCUGGCAGAAAGGAACACCUUCUUUAUAUCCGCAUUGGAGCAACAAAGUUCCAGCAACAAAGUGCUCUUAGACGCUGGGUCCAGUGUCAGCCUUUUGGGACGAGCGAUAAUGGCCGCUGAAGCCACAGGAUCCAGCCGUAAAAGAGAGGUACGCACGCUCCACCUUGUCACAGGUCAGUCUCUUGCUGUGUGGCAGGCUCUCACUGAAAGCGUUUUCUACACAUGCCCGAUCUUUGUAGAGACGCUGUGACCGGGAUAUCUCUUCAUAUUGCAUUUGGAGGUUGGACGAUCGGAACCACAGUGCUGAUUCGUCAAGGGAGAGCGGCAGGUUAAAGGAGGGCUAGAUAGCGAAGAAUUCUACGACCUGCAAGCAAUAUUUGCCGAGCAACCUGAGCCUACUGCCAAUUCUGAAACCCCAACUUCCAAUCAAUCCGCACACCUUGCAGCUCAGUCGAAUGUCUGGCGCAGGUGCUUGAGAUCUUCAGCCUAGUCGUUACUACUACUCCUGGGCACAGAACACUUGCUGCACAUUGCAUUAACACUGGGGAUAGCCAACCUGCACGUUGCAAGCUCUGUCCUGUCUAUGCUAAAGAAAGGGCUUUUAUGGAGCACCAGCCAGUGGACAAGCACUCAUGUUACAGCUGGAAAAAUGUCCGCUGGCUUCCGCCUUGCUAUUGAUUAUCGUACAAGGGUGCCCGCUUAUCCCAUGCCCAGGACCGCCCGGCUCUUGGCACAGUUGGGUCAAGCACAAUGGCUUUUGAGUUGCAACCUUUUGCGAGGCUUUUUUCAGAUCCCAGUGUGUGAACACAAUAUCCUCAAGACCACAUUUAUCUGCCACCAGGGCACCUACGUGGUCACUAACAUGCCCUUCGGAGUCGCAGGCACCGUGGACAACCAUGUGGAACACAUUUGAUGUGUACUAGAGCACACCAGAGAAGCAGGCCUCACCGUCAAGGCAGACAAGAUCUGACUGUCAAAAUUCACCCAAGUUCCUUGGACCUAUAAUUUCACCUGGGCAGUGUAGACCUGACAAAGCCCUUGACCGGUCUUUUGACAAAGGAUUCACCCUGGCAGUGGACCAUCCAGCAAGAGGGCGCAUUCCAGAGACUGGAGGAAUCCCUGGCUCAUGGUGCCGUGGUGAACCUCCCUAAUCUUAACCGGCCCUUUGUGGUGGAGAUGUAUGCUAGUGGUAUCAGAAUAGCGGUUGUGCUUCACCAGGCAAGCCCUGAGGAAUCGAGACCCAAGACUGAGUCUCAAUUCAGGGUACUCCUCACUGAGGCAGAAGAGCAGUACACAGUUCAGGAAUGGGAGUGGUCUGGGCAGUAGAUGAAUUCAGGCCUUAUCUGAAAUUCACAGAAUUCGAAAUCCAUUGUGACCAUUCUUUGCUGUCGUGGAUGUUUUGCAUAGAUCAGGCCUCGCCGUGAGUGAAGCGGGGGGUCCUUAGGCUGUAAAGUUUGAACUGCAAGGUCAAGCACAGGCUGCGCCCCUGCCAGCAUUCCAGCAGAUGCACUUAGCAGAUACAUUCUACC
rnacentral:lncRNA from 1 species